AGCAGUAGCCGCGGGAAUACGUAGGGUGCGAGCGUUAAUCGGAAUUACUGGGCGUAAAGCGGGCGCAGACGGUUACUUAAGCAGGAUGUGAAAUCCCCGGGCUCAACCUGGGAACUGCGUUCUGAACUGGGUAACUAGAGUGUGUCAGAGGGAGGUAGAAUUCCACGUGUAGCAGUGAAAUGCGUAGAGAUGUGGAGGAAUACCGAUGGCGAAGGCAGCCUCCUGGGAUAACACUGACGUUCAUGCCCGAAAGCGUGGGUAGCAAACAGGAUUAGAUACCCCCGUAGUCCCUGUCUCUUAUAC
rnacentral:rRNA from 1 species